rnacentral:rRNA from 1 species
CCUACGGGGGGCAGCAGUGGGGAAUAUUGGACAAUGGGCGAAAGCCUGAUCCAGCCAUGCCGCGUGUGUGAAGAAGGCCUUCGGGUUGUAAAGCACUUUCAGUGGGGAAGAAAGCCUUGGGGCUAAUACCCUCGAGGAAGGACAUCACCCACAGAAGAAGCACCGGCUAACUCCGUGCCAGCAGCCGCGGUAAUACGGAGGGUGCGAGCGUUAAUCGGAAUUACUGGGCGUAAAGCGCGCGUAGGCGGUCUGAUAAGCCGGUUGUGAAAGCCCCGGGCUCAACCUGGGAACGGCAUCCGGAACUGUCAGGCUAGAGUGCAGGAGAGGAAGGUAGAAUUCCCGGUGUAGCGGUGAAAUGCGUAGAGAUCGGGAGGAAUACCAGUGGCGAAGGCGGCCUUCUGGACUGACACUGACGCUGAGGUGCGAAAGCGUGGGUAGCAAACAGGAUUAGAUCCCCCAGUAGUC